CGUGCCACAACUACUGAAGCCCAUGAACCUAGAGCCCAUGUUCUGCAACAAGAGAAGCCACCACAAUGAGAGCCUGUGCACUUCAACAAAGAGUAGACCUGUUCACUGCAACUAGAGAAAGCCCGUACACAGCAACGGGGAC